ensembl:snRNA U6 U6 spliceosomal RNA
GUGCUCACUUUGGCAGCACAUAUACUAAACUGGAACAAUACAGAGAAGAUUAGCAUGGCCCCUGCACAAGAAUGACACAUAAAUUCAUGAAGCAUUCCAUAAGUAU